rnacentral:rRNA from 1 species
UGGGGAAUAUUGGACAAUGGGGGCAACCCUGAUCCAGCAAUGCCGCGUGUGUGAAGAAGGUCUUCGGAUUGUAAAGCACUUUCGACGGGGACGAUGAUGACGGUACCCGUAGAAGAAGCCCCGGCUAACUUCGUGCCAGCAGCCGCGGUAAUACGAAGGGGGCUAGCGUUGCUCGGAAUGACUGGGCGUAAAGGGCGUGUAGGCGGUUUACACAGUCAGAUGUGAAAUCCCCGGGCUUAACCUGGGAGCUGCAUUUGAUACGUGUAGACUAGAGUGUGAGAGAGGGUUGUGGAAUUCCCAGUGUAGAGGUGAAAUUCGUAGAUAUUGGGAAGAACACCGGUGGCGAAGGCGGCAACCUGGCUCAUGACUGACGCUGAGGCGCGAAAGCGUGGGGAGCAAACAGGUUAGAUACCUUGGUAGUCCACGCUGUAAACGAUGUGUGCUAGAUGUUGGGUAACUUUGG